AGAGUUUGAUCCUGGCUCAGGACGAACGCUGGCGGCGCGCCUAACACAUGCAAGUCGAACGAGAAUCAGCUGAUGAAGUUUUCGAAUGGAUUCGGUUGAGGAAAGUGGCGAACGGGCGAGUAACGCGUGAGCAACCUACCUUGUACUGGGGGAUAACGUCGGGAAACCGGCGCUAAUACCGCAUAACAUUACGAUAGCGCAUGUUAUUGUAAUCAAAGCUUUAGUGGUACGAGACGGGCUCGCGUCCAAUUAGCUAGUUGGUGAGGUAAAGGCUCACCAAGGCGACGAUUGGUAGCCGAACUGAGAGGUUGAUCGGCCGCAUUGGGACUGAGACACGGCCCAGACUCCUACGGGAGGCAGCAGUGGGGAAUAUUGCGCAAUGGGGGAAACCCUGACGCAGCGACGCCGCGUGAAGGAAGAAGGCCUUCGGGUUGUAAACUUCUUUGAUCGGGGACGAAGAUGACGGUACCCGAGGAACAAGCCACGGCUAACUACGUGCCAGCAGCCGCGGUAAUACGUAGGUGGCAAGCGUUGUCCGGAAUUACUGGGCGUAAAGGGCGUGUAGGCGGGGGGACAAGUCAGAUGUGAAAUACCGCGGCUUAACUGCGGGGGUGCAUCUGAAACUGUUCUUCUUGAGUGUCGGAGAGGAAAGUGGAAUUCCCAGUGUAGCGGUGAAAUGCGUAGAGAUUGGGAGGAACACCAGUGGCGAAGGCGGCUUUCUGGACGAUAACUGACGCUGAGGCGCGAAAGCGUGGGG
rnacentral:rRNA from 1 species